AACUUAAAUGAAUUGACGGGGGCCCGCACAAGCGGAGGAGCAUGUGGUUUAAUUCGAUGAUACGCGAGGAACCUUACCUGGGCUUAAAUGCUUAAUGACGUACUGGGAAACUGGUAUUUCUUCGGACAUUUUGCAAGGUGCUGCAUGGUUGUCGUCAGCUCGUGCCGUGAGGUGUCGGGUUAAGUCCCAUAACGAGCGCAACCCCUAUUGUUAGUUGCCAUCAGGUCAUGCUGGGGACUCUAACAAAACUGCCCGCGUAAGCGUGGAGGAAGGUGGGGAUGACGUCAAAUCAGCACGGCCCUUACGUCCAGGGCUACACACGUGCUACAAUGGCCGGUACAGAGGGCAGCCACUUGGUGACAAGGAGCAAAUCUCAAAAGCCGGUCUCAGUUCGGAUCGGAGUCUGCAACUCGACUCCGUGAAGUUGGAUUCGCUAGUAAUCGUAGAUCAGCCAAUGCUAACGGUAGAAUACGUUCCGGGCCGUU
rnacentral:rRNA from 1 species